GUCACAGGAGCUUUUCCUCUCCGCUUUGUUGUGUCUCUGCGGACCAAGGCGUUCGGAAGGAGAGAUGAAGCAGCUCAAAGGCUGAGAAGGCCGUUCUCUCCCCACCAGAUCGGCUGGGGUCUGGCCUCACUUUGUGCCAGCGUUAUCGCAGCUAAGCUACAGGGCGUGUUCUCCAGAUUGCGUGGUGAAUCACUGGGUGAUUCCCACAAAAGGUCCAUGUUUGUCCAGUGGACUGCCCGACUGAGGGGGAGGGAGCCGAGGCUGGUUCAGACUCAGCAGGGUAUCCAGUUUUAGACAAGUGGUGGGAAAUGCUAUCAUGAUGAUGAGGAGGAAGGCAUGGCUCAUACAGAGAAUGCUCAUCACCACAGGAAAAGGCUGCAGCGAGGACCUUUCCUACGCUUUCACUAAGCAAUGAACCGAGAAUAUUCGAUUCUAUUCAAGCAUAUGUCAUAGGUAAUCAUUAAAUUAGUACAGUAUCUAAAGUACCAUAAAAUGGUUCUGUUUUAUUAUUGUAAUGUAAUCUAUGAAAUGUACUGUACAUAGAAAAACGAGUCAAUCUUUUAAUAUUUCCUCCACUUCAUUUCUGUUAUUUCCCAUAAUGGUGAAGGGACUGUGCAGCAUUAUUUCCCAUUUUCAUUCCCCGUCAACUAUAUACACACAAAUACACGACUUCAGUGUUCUUGGUCGUUAUAUAAUUUCAUGGCUAUGAACCAGUUUACUGAUUGAGACAAAGAAUGAGAAAGUAAGAAACCUAUGGGCUACACGUUGGUCAUAAUAACCCUGUCCGGUGGAGAAGCUAUUUGUCCAAACAAACAGAGAUAAAAGGAUUAUGCACCAGACUGCAUGUCAGUUUUGCUUUGACUGAGCUUACACAGGGCCAGUAUAACAAGCCAAAGCACAGGAGGCUAUUUACAAGCACCAUUUAGAGUUAAGACGCCAUUGUAUGCGAGACAAAAGUGCUGUACGACAAAGAGGAAUUACAAAGAAUGAGAAAGGUGGGGUUUGCCCAACACGGUUAUGAAAUCAGCAAGAGUUUGCCCUAAUUUAGUACCCCCAUGGUUAUGUUCCUGUAUUAUGGAACAUGAUGUUUGCUUUAUAUAUUGCAUGCAAACAACAUAAAUAGGCCACUGGUCACAAAUGUUAUGCAAAUUGAGAUAUUGUACUCGUACCUGAUGUUCUUCAUCCAUAUUUCAUUUCCAAUUUCUUUCCCAAUUUUUCAAAAUAUUCAUUCCCAGUGUGAUUAUUCUGAAAUGUAUGUAUUAAAAUAUUUGUAUAUCUGUAAUAUAUACAGUUUUCAGCUGACCUAACACAGAUCCUGUAUGAACCAGCUGGUGGCUUGUGUGCUUGUUUGCAUUAUGCUAAUUCAAAAGAUGUUUCGUUGGGUCACAAGAUAUGACAUAUCUGAGUAAAGUAGAGAUUUAGCUCUGUCUUUUCACAGCACAUAUCUCAUUAAAUAAUCCAUUUGGUUUUUCUGGCUUUCUGUGGUGUUCAACAGAGCUUGAUUGCAGUGUGCAGAGUGGAGCCACAGGUUUAAGCAAUAAGGAAAAGAGGUCGAUCGAUAUCAGUACUGCAAUCAGCACCAGACAAUGCGGAAUUCAGUCAGCAGGUGCUAGCGUAAUGGUUGUCAAACACUGUCUUCAAGAACAACUACUGUGCUUGGAGUCUAGUUAGUGAAGAUGAUUCAUUUUCAGUCAGCAACUGGAAGGCACUGGUUCACAUCUUUCUCCACUUCAUCUGGAAUACGCUCCUCCAGGUUCUGAUCAGCAGGGCAGUAAGCAAAAAAACAAACAAACAAAAAAAAAAAACCAAAAA